UAAGGAAUAUUGGACAAUAGAGGCAACCCUGAUCCAGCCAUGCCGCGUGAAGGAAUAAGGCCCUAUGGGUUGUAAACUUCUUUUAGACGGGACAAAACCCCUUUACGUGUAAAGGGUUGAUGGUACUGUCAGAAUAAGCAUCGGCUAACUUCGUGCCAGCAGCCGCGGUAAUACGAAGGAUGCAAGCGUUAUCCGGAAUUAUUGGGUUUAAAGGGUGCGUAGGCGGACUAAUAAGUCAGUGGUGAAAUCUCCGAGCUUAACUUGGAAACUGCCGUUGAUACUAUAGGUCUUGAAUUAUCUGGAGGUAAGCGGAAUAUGUCAUGUAGCGGUGAAAUGCUUAGAUAUGACAUAGAACACCAAUUGCGAAGGCAGCUUACUACAUAUAAAUUGACGCUGAGGCACGAAAGCGUGGGGAUCAAAC
rnacentral:rRNA from 1 species